rnacentral:tRNA from 1 species
ACGGGAGCGGGUAAGGCGCCCGACCCCCGAAAGGUCUUGAAAACCGUCGUGGCGCAAGUCACCGUGGGUUCAAAUCCCACACCCA